rnacentral:rRNA from 1 species
UAACACCAGCGCCACAAGUGGCAAUCGGCAUUGUUGGGCCUAAAGCGUUCGUAGCCGGUUUGGUAAAUUCCAGGUGAAAUCGUUCUGCUUAACAGAACGGCGUGCUUGGAAGACUGCCAGACUUGGGACCGGGAGGCGUCAGAGGUAUUUCAGGGGGAGCGGUAAAAUGCUAUAAUCCCUGGAGGACCGCCUGUGGCGAAGGCGUCUGACGAGAACGGGUCCGACGGUGAGGGACGAAAGCCAGGGGAGCAAAUCGGAUUAGAUACCCGAGUAGUCCUGGCUGUAAACGCUGCGAGCUAGAUGUUGCGCAUUCUUAUGAUUGUGCAGUGUCGGAGCGAAGGUGUUAAGCUCGCCGCCUGGGAAGUACGGUCGCAAGGCUG